GUGGGGAAUAUUGGACAAUGGGCGCAAGCCUGAUCCAGCCAUGCCGCGUGAGUGAUGAAGGCCCUAGGGUUGUAAAGCUCUUUCACCGGUGAAGAUAAUGACGGUAACCGGAGAAGAAGCCCCGGCUAACUUCGUGCCAGCAGCCGCGGUAAUACGAAGGGGGCUAGCGUUGUUCGGAAUUACUGGGCGUAAAGCGCACGUAGGCGGACAUUUAAGUCAGGGGUGAAAUCCCAGAGCUCAACUCUGGAACUGCCUUUGAUACUGGGUGUCUUGAGUAUGGAAGUGGUAAGUGGAAUUCCGAGUGUAGAGGUGAAAUUCGUAGAUAUUCGGAGGAACACCAGUGGCGAAGGCGGCUUACUGGUCCAUUACUGACGCUGAGGUGCGAAAGCGUGGGGAGCAAACAGGAUUAGAUACCCUAGUAGUCC
rnacentral:rRNA from 1 species